rnacentral:misc_RNA from 1 species
GCGUUGUGAAUCGCUGUCAGGAGGUCUGAAUUGUUAAAGAUCAUCAUUUACAUAGUAGUUGUUUUGUUCUGUGCAUUGCUAUCAACCAUUAUUUUUUCUUUUCAACUGCUUCUAUGAUAAUUAAUUUUGGCUUUUGCAAUGACUGAAAAAUAGGAAAUUAGGCAAACUUUGGGAUCAAUAAUCUUUCAUCUUCCUCGUGUUCUUCUUCAUCUUCUUACAUCCUUUAAAAUAAUCUAUGAUGUAAGUUUAUUUAUUUAUUGUUGUUAUCAACAUGUAAUUUCAGAUUUAGCCCUUUAACCUGUAACCUUCAUGUAUUGUGUUCUCACAGUGAAAAAAUCUGUACAACCUAGUCAUUCACUUCAGCCAUUCACCUAUUCUGUCCAAUAAUAUGUUUUUUUUUAUACAAAAGAAACCUUCAG